rnacentral:snRNA from 1 species
GGAUGUGAGGGUGAUCUGGCUGUGACAUCUGUCACCCCAUUGAUUGCCAGGAUUGAUUUGGCUGAUCCAGCUGGCUAGGUGGGUGUCCGCUUCCUCCCUCACCCAUUCUUGUGCAUCCCUCAUGAAGCUGCGUGCUUGGUUGAAGAGGAUGACCAUCCCCGAUAGAGGAGGACCGGUCUUCGGUCAAGGGUACACGAGUAGCUGUGCUCCCCUGCUAGAACCUCCAAACAAACUCUCAAAUAACAGCAAUGAUAUUAGUAAUAAUAAAGUACCAUCUUUAAAAAUAAAGGCAAAAAUUAUCAGUCUCUAAAUAUUA